GAGCGGAACGAGUUAUCAUGAACCUUCGGGGGACGAUAACGGCGUCGAGCGGCGGACGGGUGAGUAAUGCCUAGGAAAUUGCCCUGAUGUGGGGGAUAACCAUUGGAAACGAUGGCUAAUACCGCAUGAUGCCUACGGGCCAAAGAGGGGGACCUUCGGGCCUCUCGCGUCAGGAUAUGCCUAGGUGGGAUUAGCUAGUUGGUGAGGUAAGGGCUCACCAAGGCGACGAUCCCUAGCUGGUCUGAGAGGAUGAUCAGCCACACUGGAACUGAGACACGGUCCAGACUCCUACGGGAGGCAGCAGUGGGGAAUAUUGCACAAUGGGCGCAAGCCUGAUGCAGCCAUGCCGCGUGUGUGAAGAAGGCCUUCGGGUUGUAAAGCACUUUCAGUCGUGAGGAAGGUGGUGGAGUUAAUAGCUGAAUUAUUUGACGUUAGCGACAGAAGAAGCACCGGCUAACUCCGUGCCAGCAGCCGCGGUAAUACGGAGGGUGCGAGCGUUAAUCGGAAUUACUGGGCGUAAAGCGCAUGCAGGU
rnacentral:rRNA from 1 species